AUCUUUAUUAAACAAGAUUGUGAAUCUAUCAUACAACAAAGAUCAUUUAUAUGAAAUAAACCAUAACCAGGGAGCAUAUCAUGCCAAGUAACCAUGGUUGUCAAACAAUCCAAAAUAUCACCCCAAAUCCUAAAGGGAUUAAUUAUUUCUAUUUCUUUUAUAAGUAUUUUAAAUAGCUUUAUUAAGAAACAUAGCAUACUUUAUCAAACAGAGCUGAAAUUAAUCAUGAAGCUAGAUAACAGUUACACAAAAUCACAUAUUAAAUUUCAUGAUUUUUGGAUAUACUCAUAAUUUACUAAAAAUCAUGGAAGGUUUAUUCAUUAAUAAACAGAGGUAAUUUUUACAUACAUGCAAACUACCAGAAAAUAUAAUUAACUAUUUUUCAUGUGUCCUACUCAUUUUAAGGAAGCCAUACAAAAAUUCUCAUAAUUUUUGGAUCAGCAUAAAAUUUACUACACAAAUUCAAAAAUAAAUCAAAAACUGCAUAAAAAGAAAAAGAAAAAGAUUACUGCGCAGUGGGCUGCUUGGAAACUGGGCCGCAGACCGGCCCACUGCUUCCGGCCCGCAUCCGCGCUGCGCACACCCGCGCCAUCUCCCUCACUCGGGACGCUGACAGGCAAACCCCACCUGUCAGCUCCGUCCCGUUCACGCGCGGCGGCUCGGCCGCGACUCCGACGACCGAUAGCGAGGCCCUUGGCCCCUGCGCGCGCGCGCAUCAGCUCCGACUCAACUCCGCGACUCCAUUGGUACCACUCGCGGAUGCUCUACCUCACUGCUACCACCUCGACCACGAUAGGAGCGGGCGGUCGCCAUGGCCGUCUGUCGGCCGGCCACUAGG
rnacentral:lncRNA from 1 species